AACGUCCUAAGUGGACUAGUUUCUCUGAGACUAAGUGGAUAACAAUUUAAAGGGCCCCUUAGCUGUUCGUGCGUUGGUGGACCUCCAGUCAAGCCACUCUUCCGCCACUGGUGAUAUUCUUUCAAGUCCUCUCAGGGAUCCACCCAUCUCAGGAACUUCUUAACACACUGACUCUACGCAAUCAAUUGCCACCACAGAGAGAGCCUUGGAGAUGCGUUUUUAUUGACAAAUCUUAAUGGCAAGAAAUCUCAAUACUUACAGAUGCGGCCUCAGUUAUUGUGCCAUUUGACAUGACAUGUAUGGGAUCUCGGGAACUCUACAGCUCGGAAAAUGAUGUUUAGGAUCAAUGCCGUUCACUGCAUCUUAAAGGGUUUGGAGACCAACUUGACAUCAACAGGUCCAGCACAUUCACUUUUUGAGGGAGUUUUUUUUCACAACGUCUUGGAAGUGACGUCUUGGAAAUGUUGGUUUUACCCAAAGAGUCUACCACCCCUUGGCAAUCCUCAUUCAAGAAGAGUUGGUCGAAUUCUAGUUGGGUUGACAGCAUUUUUUUGUGACUUCACGACAUGUGGAUAAGGGAAUAGGCUGCUGCCAGUCACCUCUGAAAUCAGCUUAUCUCCUACAGGGACAAGGAUAUUAAAAUUCAGUGUGCCCCAGUCUUUCUUUCCCUUGACCUGUGCCCCAUACAUUGGCCAUAAGCUCAGAUUCAGCCUAUUGUUUUAAAGUGGUAAAGGUUGGCUUAAAGGGUGUCCAGGAUUAGAACCAUGCCAAAUCUGUCCAUGGGAUGUGUAUGGCAGUGAAGCUCUGCCCACUUUAUGCCAAUAGAGCUGAGUUGCCCUACUAGACACAGCCAAUGGGCAGAUGUGGGGCUGAUACUCAAAAAGCCUCUUAUGCUAUACAAAGGAUUACUGUGACAGAUAGUUCUAGUGGCGGAGGCUUAACUUCAAGUCAAACUGAAUUGAGUUAUCCCAAGAUUAGAAGGCAUCACCUAUCCAUAAGAUAGGUCAUAUUUGACUUUGUGGUGGGAGUCUGAUUGCUGAGACCCCCACUGUUAAUGAAAAUGAAGGUCCCCUUUGUCCCCUAUGGGAUAUGUCUUAACAUGCUAUGUCUGAAUCCUACGACAAAUCACCGAUGGUCCACAUGACAUCAUAGUGUUUAGAAGUAUUUGGUAUAAUGGGGAAAGUGAACUCUACGAAAUAUUACAAUCAUUUCCAUUAUAUUACACUGCACCCCUAUUAGGGGUCUGUGCCCUCUCUCCUCAAGGCAAAGGGUCCAGAUUGUGCAACUCCCAUUGCUGCACCAUGGGCAACAAGGACAUAAGUACCUUAAUGGCAGACCAUGAGGUUACUAUGGGGCCCUUGAAGAGAGGAGGAUCCAUACUGGUUGGUACCAUUCCUUUUUUAUUGGUAAGGAACUGUGCAGAACUACAUUGUCAGAAAAAUAAUGGAGGAGGGUACUGACCAAUGGGUCAUGGAAUACAAAUGAAAAUAAACACCAGAUUUGUCCUGGGCAGGCAUGAUAGGAGUGCCAUUUUGAUAUUUUAGGCCCCACUUUCUUGUACGCCAGUGGUAUGCAAAUAGCAGAAAAAUUCAGCCUAUACCUAUACAGAUGGUAAACUAUCAGUGGGCACCAUAGAAAUUAUUUGAUUGGGAUCCCCUAGACAGAAGAGUGGAAGGAGGCAUACACACAGAUACAACACAUACACACAUUCAGUUCAGGAACUCCCUAGGAGUUAUGUUGCCCCAUUUUCCUCUAAGCUUAUAGUAGACACAAAAAUCCAUAAAAUAAACUCAACUACUACUAUAGACAAAGCAGGUACAUAAGAGAUUGGAACUCCAAGCCCUAAAUACUUUAAUAAACCAUUAUGAACUGGAACCAUUGGAUGUUGCAAUGAAUCGGGCUCCGUCUACACGUCCUCAUAGUUUUUACAAAGUCUAUGAUGGAAAUGAAGAACUGGUUACAAUAAUCCAUGAUUCAUGUUCUACAGCGAUGAUUUCUAACCUGUGUCUAGUAUGAUCCAACAGACACGGGCUGCUAGUGCAUGCUGGGAAUUGUACUUUUGCAACCGCUGAAAGAGGCACAGGUUGGAGACCUCUGAUCCCCCAUUGACUUACAAAUGUUUUGCCGGGUUUCCAUUGAUUUCUUGCAUGCUACAUUAUCCUGAUAGUAAAAAAUGCAACAUAAAGUAGCGCGCUGAAUCUAUAGCGGGGCACACCGAAUUGCCAUACUUCCAUACUACAGAUUUAUAGACAUUCUGUAUGCCACCAUACAAGUCCUCCGGCAGACACUGAAAUCACCCAUGGAAGCAAUAGUUCUGAGGAAGAAUAUAUAAUGGGGCAAAUCCCAACCGGCUUUCAAAUUCCAUAUUAAUGCAACAGAAAACAAACAUUUUUAUGCCAACAAGUAACGAUAGAGAAAUGGGCACUCACCCUGUUAAAACGUAGCUUUUAAUGGAGUUCUGCGGCGAUAGACACCCAAGUGUCUGAUCGCGGGGGUCCGGGUGCUGGAACCCCCCGCAAUCUCCUAUAUGGGGCCCCGGCUCUGCCGCAGCAUUACGCCGCGGCCGACACGCCCCCUCCAUGUAUCUCUAUGGGAGAGGCGGAGAUGCAGCGUUCGUGUAUCACAGCCUCUCCCAUAGAGCUGAAUAGAGGGGGCGUGUCUGUUGACCUCAGUGAGGUCGACGACACAAGCAUUAUCCACGCAGAGCCGCAGCAAUGCCCGGUGUAUGGGAGAUCGCGGAGGGUGCCAGCGGUCGGACACCCCCGCGAUAAGACUCUUAUACCCAAUCCUGCGCAUAGGGGAUAAGUUGUUUAUCGCCGCAGAACUCCUUUAAUUUUUCAUACAAAAACACUCUCAUGGCAAUGGA